CGCUGGCGGCGUGCUUAACACAUGCAAGUCGAGCGAGAAGCUAUCUAUUGAACCUUCGGGUGAUUUAGAUAGUGGAAAGCGGCGGACGGGUGAGUAACGCGUGGGUAACCUGCCCUAUGCAGGGGGAUAACACAUUGAAAAGUGUGCUAAUACCGCAUAAGACCACAGAGUCGCAUGACUCAGUGGUAAAAACUCCGGUAGCAUAGGAUGGACCCGCGUCUGGUUAGCUAGUAGGUAAGGUAACGGCUUACCUAGGCGACGAUCAGUAGCCGACCUGAGAGGGUGAUCGGCCACAUUGGGACUGAGACACGGCCCAAACUCCUACGGGAGGCAGCAGUGGGGAAUAUUGCACAAUGGGGGAAACCCUGAUGCAGCGACGCCGCGUGAAGGAAGAAGGUUUUCGGAUCGUAAACUUCUAUCAGCAGGGAAGAUAGUGACAGUACCUGACUAAGAAGCCCCGGCUAACUACGUGCCAGCAGCCGCGGUAAUACGUAGGGGGCAAGCGUUAUCCGGAUUUACUGGGUGUAAAGGGUGCGUAGGCGGCGAAGUAAGUCAGAUGUGAAAGCCCGAGGCUCAACCUCGGGACUGCAU
rnacentral:rRNA from 1 species